rnacentral:lncRNA from 1 species
UACUUAUAAUUUUUUUUCAUAUCAACUGUAUCUUUUAAGUUAUAAUAUCUCAAUUUAAAAAAAAAAGUCCUUAAUUAAUCGAUCUCAAUGUAGACGUCCAAUUAGCAUAUGUUGGUAAAUGGUAUACAAUAGUAUGUAAUUUCAUCAGAGCGACAGUGGCAAUCGCCCUUCGUUCCGGGGCACUGUAUGGUCAAAUCAUGAGAGCUGUUUAUAUCGUAAUCGUACACUCAGAAGGGACAUUGUGAUUGUAAAGAUUUAACCUUUAGCUCCACAGCCUCUUCCCCACCCCCCCUACAAAAACUGGAAUGGCCCGCUUGCUGUCUCUUUGUGGGCUUCAAUCACACUUUAUGAUCUUGCCAAAUCACAGGCCUAUAUCUGUCAACCAGUCAAUUGUCUCGUUUCAAAAACAAACAAAUGAAUGUAUCAAAAAAAAAAAAAAAAGAAAGACAAAUGAGAAUCUCCAACAUUAUUAACAUAACUCACCCGACACGUUAAUUCCUUACCUUGACCUUCAUUUGCCCCUCUAAUCACCAUUAUCAUAGACAAAUUAUAGUCAAAUUAACAAUAAGAUAACCCUCGUAUACAAUUCAAUCAUUUAAUCAUACGAACCAAUGAAUUGGCGACGUAUGUGAAGUGAACGGCUGCAAAUUGUCGAGCCUAGAUGUCACGUCUCAGUCUCACUUAAAUUUUUCAUGCGCUCACAGUCACAAUGUUGCACUUGCAUGCUAGCACUGUAUCAUUUGAACCACAACAUAUCUUUAGGGUUACGAAAUUUAAGUUAGAAAGAAGUCAAUAUGGUGGAAUAAUUAGGUCAAAAUACGGUGAUUUCAACUAUUUCAUCAAUUACAUCUUACUAAAUUUUUUGUUACACUUCUUAAAUUUUUUUUGUUACAUGUUUGAUAGAGUCGAAAUUCAUGGAGUCCAAUUUCUUCACAUUAAUUAUCAGUGCUUUCUUUCUGCAAAUCUUAUUAGCAGUCCGCUUCAUUCUUUCAGGAUGAGAAUAACUUUUUCUUUGCCUAAAGAGGGCCAAUGAUGUCCCAAUCGAGGAUCACUGAUUUAAGUAAGUUAUCGGAUUGGCAUCUAAAUUUGCUUUAUAAAGGCUUUGAGUUGAUAAGAGAAAUCCCUUUACACAUAUCGUGUCUUCACGAAUUUACUUAAAGGAAUCUAGCUGGAGAUCUCAUAUCUAUUCAUAGGAUUUUAUAUGGCAACUUUGGUGGCUUCCCCACCUCCCACAAACACCCCUAUUAUUCUACUGUGCACUUGAGAAAAUGCCCUUGGCUGCCAUAAGCUUUUUUGCUUCUUAAUCUCUCAAAGGACAGUCCAUUUAAUUUUUAAUAUCUUAUUUUGUCUGGGGAAAAGAACAAGUAAACCUCUCGAUUUU